UGGCAAGAUGCGAAAUGGGUUGACCAUGGUCUCUGGGUCUCGUGCCGUCGACGUUGCUCAUUCUUGUGUCUUACGACCGUUUAUGGGGUGAGACCUGGUGCUUGCUUGCACCCUCUUUGCCUGGAACUUUUUCAGUAGCUCAUCGCGAACCAUUACAUGUUUCGAGCACAUGGUGGAGCCGGAUUGUGCUGGCUUACCACAACUCCAGCCACGAGCAUUGCACCACCGCUCUCCCGGCAUUAUCAAUUGGUCAGCUUCAACCUCUAGUUCUUCAACUUCUUCCUCUGGCCAUUCUCCACCAGUUUCCCCGUCUAGCUCUUCAUCAUUACUGCCGUAUCGAAGCAGAAGUGCAAGACCAUUUAUACUCACAAAACAUAACAUGUUUGUAGUGCAAAGUAAAUACAUUCAAAACAAAUAUUUUUUCAAAGUUGGAAUUAACCUGCAUUAUAUUAUCACGAUAAAGCAAUACAGUACUCUAUCAACCCAAAGUACAAAAUGUAAAAAAAAAAGAGAACAGUUCUACGAGCAUGAAUUUUUUUGCGGCUCAGUUAAAAUGUGUCAAUAAGUUACUUGUACAUCAGUCACAAAAUAAGUUACUUGUACAUCUAUCAACCCAAAGUGGAAGGCCUGGGGCAAGAGAGAAACCAAUACCCACGUGAUUGCAAUUGCACUGGAUGAGCAAGGGGUGCCAUACUCCCAUGUGUCACAUCCUCAAGGUUGGUUACUUCCAUAAUAAUCGAUUAAAUAAAAAAUUUUGCAGGUUAUGCCAUUUGGGCGUGUGGGAACCGAUCGGCCGUAGAAAUAUGCUCAUGAUUUACUCUAUAUGGAUUAGAAAUAUAUAUACCUGUCCUCUGGAUCCUUCACCAUAUCGUCGUCCAAAGCUAAGCUGUUCACAUAAGCCGCC
rnacentral:lncRNA from 1 species